CCCCGGUGCGGUGCGGGAGCGCCCGGGAGCGCGGGGUUGUGCCCGGCCGGGAGGGCCCGGCUGACCUCGCCGUGCAGGCCAUGGCGGAGCGGCUGUGCCUCAACGGGCGCAAGCGGCUCGGGGAGGCCGCGGAGGGGCCGCGGGCGCAGAAGAGGCGGAAGGCGGACGGCGGCGGGCCGGGCCUGGGCCCCGAGGAAAAGUCGUGUCGUUUGUCAGCAGCUCUGCUUGGCGAGGGCUCCGAAAUCAGCCAGGAGCAGCUGUAUGAGCUGCUGAAAUAUGCAGCUCUGGGGAAAUGCCACAACGCAGCACAGCCCAGCUGGUGCCAUGUUUAUCACCAAAGACACCUGGCUGGGGUUGUGGUUGUUGUUCUACACGAAAUGAGCCAACUCCAUUUCUACAGAUUCUAUUUACAGUUCAAACACCUCAGGAAAGUGUUCCGGCAUAGAUUCACAUUAACACCUUCUGCUAACUUCCCAGUCAGCCUGUAUGGAGAAGGAACAAACCUGAAACCUCAAAACACUCCACAAGGCUUGACUUCCCCCAGCAGUGAAUGCAUUACUAAAAGCUCAGACUUGCAAUGUGAUCCCAUCAUUCAGAGAUACGGAGAAAAGAAACAAGGCCUUACAAGCUAUACUCUAACUUUAGAAGAGCAGAAAAGAAAUGACUAUCCCAUAGAAGGUUCCCCUGGAUGCAAGGGCUACAUCUCCACAGAGUGUGAUCAGCAGAGGACAGACAGCAGCCCCCUCUUUGGUCUGGAUUGUGAAAUGUGCCUGACGGCGAAAGGGAACGAAGUCACCCGCGUGUCCUUGGUGGAUGCCCGGGGUCGGUGCCUGCUGAAUGAGCUGGUCAGACCUGAGAGCACAGUGGUGAACUACCGCACCAGGUUCUCAGGAAUCACAAAGAAAAUGCUUCUUCCAGUGAAGACAAGACUGUCAGACAUCCAAACCAGGCUAAAAAAAAUGCUUCCCCAUGAUGCAGUAUUGGUGGGUCAUUCUCUAAAUUCUGAUCUUCAGGCUUUAGAAAUGAUCCACCCCAGUGUUAUUGAUACUUCACUGCUUUUUGCCAGAAGUGAAGGUCGAAGAUUUAAGCUAAAAUUUCUAGCCAAAGCUGUUUUAGGGAAGGAGAUUCAGUGUGAACAGAAGCUUGGGCAUGAUCCUACAGAAGAUGCUAGAGCUGCAUUGGAAUUAGCUCAAUUCUUCAUUGAGCAAGGACCAACAAAGGUAGCAGAACUAAACUUGGAGAUGCUUCUGACAGCUGAAAAACUGGCUGAGGUCUCACAGAACAAAGCUGUGCUGCAGCCACAAAGAUGUGGGUUCCAGGAACAGCUGAAUGAGCCUCCGCCAUUAUCCAAACCAUGUUUUUUAGAUUGUCUGAAGGUGACUGGCCAAAAACCCCUCCUUUUGGGCAGACAGGGACUAGACUCUUCCGGCCUGUGUCAGAGAAACCUGAGCACUUCAAACAAACAGAUUCUUCAGAGAGCCUUGGAAGAUGUUCCCCUGUCCAAAUUCAGUAUCAUUCAGUUCAGUUUGGGUCCAGAGUACAUUGCAUCUCACCUUCAUGCUGGACUUCAUGAAAAGGUGAGAAGCAAGCUGACUGACAUGCUGACAAUUUACGCAGGUCCUUUUGAAGAAAACUUUUGCCUGAAGUCUGUGAAGAAAGAAUUUGGGAGGUGUGGACCAAUCCAGUCCCUUACAGUGGUAACUGAAACAUUCCAGCCAUAUGUCUGUAUCCAAUACGAAGUGCUGGAAGCUGCCCAGCUUGCUGUGGAAAGCCUGAAUGGAGCUGAGGUGGCAGGAUCCUGCAUUAAGGUCCAGAGACCGGUCACUGCAGCCAUGCUGGACUGCAGUGUUCUGAUUAAGGAAUUAGAACUGGAUGUAGAAAAUGAAGGUGUGAUUUAUGUGGCCGGUCUGAAGAAGUCAUUAACAGAGACAGACUUGCAAGAAGAAUUCAGCCAGUUGAAAGACCUAGAAACACUGUUCCUGCCAAAGGAUCUUCAGAGUGGAAAGCACAGGAACUGCUGUUUCCUCAAAUUCCAGAAAUCCCAGAGUGCCAUGGAUGCCCUUGAAGCUAUAAAUGGAUGGACCGUGAAGGGUAGCGAGCUAAGAAGUAGGAAUGCCCUUGCUCCAGGUCACCUCUGGAGAUGGAUUUGGCAAAUGAAUCACAGCGAUGGGAAACAAGGAAAACACAUCUUCUAUGAGCAAAUGGAGCAGCUGUCUGACUCUGAGCAGGAUCUAAGGAAAAAGGUGAAGAAGUUAGACCACGAUAUCAAAAAGCUUUAUAGAAGCCUGCAGAAUAACACCCUGUGCGUUGUUCUCUUUCCUGGUGUGAACAGGUAACUUGCUGCCUAUUUUGCAGAGAACCAAGGAGCUGAAUAAUUUUGUCUUAAUCUAUUAAAAAUUAAAGCCUUCCACAAGGAAGAGAAAGCCCAAGAGAAAGGCUGAAGAAGCUGUUGUACUUAAUCUGACUUUCAUGUCGGGCCAAUAAAACCUCAGGCCUGCGUUCUGCCCACAAAGCAGGCCUGAGCCAAAUUCAUGUAUCUUAGGGCCCACAGUGCUGAUUAAUUGUGCACAUCUUAGCAGUUCACUCAUCUGCCCUGAUGGAUGUUUCAUCCCCAUUGACAAUGAGCACGCAUGGAUCACAAUCUGGCCUUGGUCUGAUGGGAAUAAAAGAUGAUGAAGGGAGGAGCACUUGUUAAACUGCCAAGUUUUUAAG